UAAAUCAGUUAUCGUUUAUUUGAUAGUACCUUACUACUUGGAUAACCGUGGUAAUUCUAGAGCUAAUACAUGCUGAAAACCCCAACUUCGGGAGGGGUGUAUUUAUUAGAUAAAAAACCAACGCCCUUCGGGGCUUCUUGGUGAUUCAUGAUAACUUCACGGAUCGCAUGGCCUUGCGCCGGCGACGGUUCAUUCAAAUUUCUGCCCUAUCAACUUUCGAUGGUAAGGUAUUGGCUUACCAUGGUUUCAACGGGUAACGGGGAAUUAGGGUUCGAUUCCGGAGAGGGAGCCUGAGAAACGGCUACCACAUCCAAGGAAGGCAGCAGGCGCGCAAAUUACCCAAUCCCGACACGGGGAGGUAGUGACAAUAAAUACUGAUACAGGGCUCUUUUGGGUCUUGUAAUUGGAAUGAGUACAAUUUAAACCUCUUAACGAGGAACAAUUGGAGGGCAAGUCUGGUGCCAGCAGCCGCGGUAAUUCCAGCUCCAAUAGCGUAUAUUAAAGUUGUUGCAGUUAAAAAGCUCGUAGUUGAAACUUGGGCCUGGCUGGCAGGUCCGCCUCACCGCGUGUACUUGUCCGGCCGGGCCUUUCCUUCUGGAGAACCUCAUGCCCUUCACUGGGUGUGUUGGGGAACCAGGACUUUUACUUUGAAAAAAUUAGAGUGUUCAAAGCAGGCCUUUGCUCGAAUACGUUAGCAUGGAAUAAUAGAAUAGGACGGGUCCUAUUUUGUUGGUUUCUAGGACCGCCGUAAUGAUUAAUAGGGACAGUCGGGGGCAUCAGUAUUCAAUUGUCAGAGGUGAAAUUCUUGGAUUUAUUGAAGACUAACUACUGCGAAAGCAUUUGCCAAGGAUGUUUUCAUUAAUCAGUGAACGAAAGUUAGGGGAUCGAAGACGAUCAGAUACCGUCGUAGUCUUAACCGUAAACUAUGCCGACUAGGGAUCGGGCGAUGUUCUUUUUCUGACUCGCUCGGCACCUUACGAGAAAUCAAAGU
rnacentral:rRNA from 1 species